UACAGAGGUCCCAAGCGUUGUUUGGAUUCAUUGGGCGUAAAGGGUGCGUAGGUGGCGCCGUAAGUCGGGUGUGAAAUUUCGGAGCUUAACUCCGAAACUGCAUUCGAUACUGCGGUGCUUGAGGACUGGAGAGGAGACUUGAAUUCAUGGUGUAGCAGUGAAAUGCGUAGAGAUCAUGAGGAAGACCAGUGGCGAAGGCGGGUCUCUGGACAGUUCCUGACACUGAGGCACGAAGGCCAGGGGAGCAAACGGG
rnacentral:rRNA from 1 species